rnacentral:rRNA from 1 species
AGGGUUUGAUCAUGGCUCAGAACGAACGCUGGCGGCAUGCCUAACACAUGCAAGUCGAACGCUAUCUUUGAUAGAGUGGCGCACGGGUGAGUAACGCGUGGGAACCUGCCUUUCUCUGCGGGACAACGGUUGGAAACGAUCGCUAAUACCGCAUACGCCCUACGGGGGAAAGGUCAGCCGGAGAAAGAGGGGCCCGCGUUCGAUUAGCUAGUUGGUGGGGUAAAAGCCUACCAAGGCGACGAUCGAUAGCUGGUCUGAGAGGAUGAUCAGCCACACUGGGACUGAGACACGGCCCAGACUCCUACGGGAGGCAGCAGUGGGGAAUAUUGGACAAUGGGGGCAACCCUGAUCCAGCAAUGCCGCGUGUGUGAUGAAGGCCCUAGGGUUGUAAAGCACUUUCACUGGUGAAGAUGAUGACGGUAGCCAGAGAAGAAGCCCCGGCUAACUUCGUGCCAGCCGCCGCGGUAAUAC